rnacentral:rRNA from 1 species
GACGAACGCUGGCGGCAUGCCUAAUACAUGCAAGUUGAACGAUGAUAUUCUCUGCUUGCAGAGAAUUGAAGAGUAGCGAACGGGUGAGUAACACGUGGGGAACCUGCCCAUGAGAGGGGGAUAACAUUCGGAAACGGAUGCUAAUACCGCAUAAUGCUUUGGACCGCCUGGUCCAGAGACGAAAGACGGCUUUUGCUGUCACUCAUGGAUGGCCCCGCGCCGUAUUAGCUAGUUGGUGAGGUAAUGGCUCACCAAAGCUGUGAUACGUAGCCGACCUGAGAGGGUGAUCGGCCACACUGGGACUGAGACACGGCCCAGACUCCUACGGGAGGCAGCAGUAGGGAAUCUUCCACAAUGGGCGAAAGCCUGAUGGAGCAAUGCCGCGUGAAUGAAGAAGGUCUUCGGAUCGUAAAGUUCUGUUAUUAGAGAAGAACAAGUCAAGGAGUAACUGUCUUGACUUUGACGGUACCUAACCAGAAAGACACGGCUAACUACGUG